GGGAAGGUAACUCAGUGGUAGAGUGCUUAUUUUGCAUGCAUGAGGCCCUGGGUUCGAUUCCCCAGCACCA
rnacentral:tRNA from 1 species